UACGUAGGGUGCGAGCGUUAAUCGGAAUUACUGGGCGUAAAGCGUGCGCAGGCGGUUGGGCAAGUCUGAUGUGAAAGCCCCGGGCUUAACCUGGGAACGGCAUUGGAGACUGCCCGGCUAGAGUGCGUCAGAGGGGGGUAGAAUUCCACGUGUAGCAGUGAAGUGCGUAGAGAUGUGGAGGAAUACCGAUGGCGAAGGCAGCCCCCUGGGUCAAGACUGACACUCAUGCACGAAAGCGUGGGGAGCAAACAGG
rnacentral:rRNA from 1 species